CACAAUGCAAACCACUCUCUGAUUCAAAUAAUUAUCUUUAUUCUAUCUUUCGUACUUUAUUUUUUUUUUCUUUUUUCAACAUCCCCAUCUAGCACCAUUUUAGUGAUUUCAGAACCAACUUCAACAGUAAAUGUUAGAUGUAAUUUUUUAGAUGUAUUUGCAUCUCAAGUUGGAUGCAAUUCAGGCGGUUUGAUGAAACUUGAACGCGAAUCUUCCCUAGUUGGCAUCUUAAGUAGCAGCAUAUCCAGACGAACUAAGAAAGACAACAACCAUAGAACAUCCUCAACUCUAGGUUCUACAUCAUUUUCUUCUUAUAGGUUGAAGAGUUGUGAUGUUUUCAAAGGUUGCCUUUGUCAUCUCCUCACAAAUGCCGAUGGUUCUUGACAAAACUAUCAUAGAACAAACAUCUUUCACCGUCCUAGGGAAAACAAUCCCACCUGGUAUAGCAGGUUCCCAAUGGAGCUCAACGGUAAAAGUCGGUUGCUUAGAGUGGUUAAGAAUUUAUUGCAGUUUAAAUGAUUGCAAGCUGUUUUGACCACUCUGGUUAAGUCUCCCCCUUCGACACUGGUUCUGGUGAGAAAGAGAGAAAAGUUUUUGUGAAUUCAUGUUGCUUCUUCGUGUGCGUUAAUUUGCUCGCACGGUUUGAGGAUUUUUUGGCUUAGAUUCUACAACAGUGAAGAGAAUUGGAGGCUCCGAUCUUGCCAUAUGGUGUGCGAGAGAUUUGUGAUUGGCCAUCAUCAUUAGUAGAACGUGUGGAUGGGGUUUGAUUUGGUCAACUUAGGUUCUCUAAGACAACGUGCGACCUCGCCAGUCAGCGGUUGAGCCCAUGAUCGUCCAGUAGGUGUCGAACGAGAGAAGAGAUUAAGGCCUAAGAUAGCCUUGGUGUGAGGCACCAUACCGAAUUCUCACCAGUCCAAAGUUGAGCACGAUACACACCGACAAUGCUGGCCAAACGACUAGGUGAUUGUUUUUUAUUAUACCCUCGUCUGGUUCCUUGUCUCUAAAGGGAAUGAUGCUCGGCCCUACGAUAGGUGUUAAAAUGUUUCGAAUAAGAUCCUGAAGUCCCUUAUUCAAAGCACUCAAAGUUGUUAGAUUAUUCUCCAUCAUCCAAGUUACUAUGUUAGUUCUCUCUCUUUCUUGUACUUUGC
rnacentral:lncRNA from 1 species